AUGUCUCAAGAGUCACUUAAGAUGUUUCUGCAAUACAUGGUGAAACAACUUGUUGUUUACAGGCGUAGCGGUGGGCUUCCAAGAACAAAUUACAGUUGCAGAAAAUUAGUGAUUCCAAUACUAAACGUGAUGAGUGAGAGGACGCGGAUUACCUAUUCACGUAGAGCUGUGUCUAAGAACAGUGAGAUCAAGAAAGAUGAACAAACAGUCAUAGAAAAGGAAGAUGACACUGAAAGCACAUUGGAGAUAGAGCGAAUCAGAGGUGACCCUAGUAUGCUCCAAUCCAUGACAGUGAAAGAACUCAAGGAACUCACAAGGAGGAUGGGAGUUGCUGCGAGAGGUAACAAGAAAGAUUUGGUAUCAGCUCUGAUGGAAUCUCUGGGUGAGGAAGUAAUUGGUAAAGAGGGAGCAUCAACCAUUGAGCAGAUUGGCCCAUCAGAAGUACCUUCAAAAAGAAAAGGUGCCGCUUCAGUAGUGGUUGAACAAAAGCUAGAAACUUCUGAAGUUAUUUCCGCAACUCCUAGCAAGAGAAGUAGAACCAAGCAGAAAUCAAUUAAGGGCACCACUCCGGAGGAGAACCCUGUGACUACUGUCAAGAUAAAUAAAACAUCACACAAGAAGGAAACAGUUGUUGCCAAUGGUGCUAUUGCAAAGGCGGGGUUGGGUCUUAAUGUGGAUGGUGCAGAGCCUUGGACUGUACUUGUACACAAGAAGCCACAGGCUGAGUGGAUUCCAUACAAUCCUAAGGUCAUGAGGCCUCCACCCCUUAGCAAGGAUACAAGGGCGCUAAAGAUUCUAUCAUGGAAUGUCAAUGGACUGAAAGCUCUAGUAAAAAAUAGGGGCUUCUCUGUUCAUGAGUUAGCACAGAGGGAGGAUUUUGAUGUGCUAUGCCUGCAAGAAACGAAAAUUCAGGAGAAAGAUGUUGACGUCAUCAAGGAAAGUCUACUUGAAGGGUAUACCAAUAGUUUCUGGACAUGUAGUGUGUCAAAGCUUGGCUAUUCAGGGACUGCCAUAAUUUCACGGGUGAAACCACUUUCUAUCAAGUAUGGGCUUGGUGUACCAGACCAUGAUACAGAAGGGAGGAUUGUGACGGUGGAAUUUGAUGAUUUUUACUUGCUAACCGCUUAUGUGCCGAAUUCCGGUGAUGGUCUCAAAAGAUUGACUUACAGAGUCACAGAGUGGGAUCCAUGCCUUGGUAACUACAUGAAAGAAUUGGAAAAAUCGAAACCUGUCAUACUAACUGGUGAUCUUAACUGUGCGCAUCAGGAGAUUGAUAUACAUGAUCCUGCUGGAAAUAGUAGAAGUGCCGGCUUCACAAAAGAAGAAAGGAAAUCGUUCGAGACUAAUUUUCUGUCCAAAGGGUUCGUGGAUACGUUUCGGAAACAGCACCCUGAUGUUGUUGGAUAUAGCUACUGGGGUUAUAGGCAUAAUUGCCGGAAGACUAAUAGAGGUUGGCGCCUGGAUUACUUCCUCGUGUCGGAGUCCAUCGCAGAAAGAGUCCACGACUCAUACAUCCUCCCAGACGUUUCUGCCAGUGACCACAGCCCACUCGGCCUCAUACUGAAGCUCUAG
rnacentral:rRNA from 1 species